UCCUAACCUGUGAGAUGGCUACUUGACAAAUUGAUAUUUAGUGUAAAACACAAUCAAAUUAAAGAUAUAAAAUCAUACAACACAAUCAAAUUAAAGAUGUAAAUUCAUUAAUUAAAAAUAGUGGUUACAAACAUAGUUCAAAUAGCCUUUAGUUACAUUAAAAUCUUCACAUACAUCAUUGCGACGCAAACAAACAGUACAACCAAAUACAACUUUAUCUUAAAAAUUCUUCUAUCUGUAAACUAAGAAGAAGUAAUUUAAUUACUAUUUUAUACGAAACCACAUUUAU
rnacentral:lncRNA from 1 species